UCAGCCAUAUUGGCUUCUAGGACAUAUAUCUAACACAACCAUAUGCUAGUAAGAUUAUCCUGAACCCAACAAGAUUUUUCUAAACCCAAUUGAGACUUCAUAAGCCCAAUUGCUUAUUUCCGAUCUAAUCUCUUUAUUGUAUGACUACAAAGAUUCAAUUCUAUCUGGUAGUGAGAUAUACAAUGAUCUCUAUUAUUGUAUCAUUGAAAUUUUUUUUAAUGGAUCGAAAUAAUUUCACUCUAACUCAUCAAGGAUUAUCGAUCCUGAGCAAUCCUAGUAAGCUCUUACAAUCCACCAGCGAAACCUAGC
rnacentral:lncRNA from 1 species